UUGAUGCACAUAUUCAAAUUGAAGUCAUGGAAUUGGAAGAUGCAAAGCAUACUUAGAGCUCUCCUCAACUCCUCCCUUGCAAUACUCUAACAUGCUUCUUAUUCUUAGAGGUACAAAGAUUUACAGGAGAAGGAAAGACUUCAUAAAAGCAAAGACAAUUUCAAGUGUAAAAGACAAUCUAAUCCAAACCCCAAAACUAAAAUUGGUAGCGAAAAACUCCUCAGUACACUCUACUUAACGCUAUAAAACUCCAAUAUCCUAAACCUAAGAACAGUCCAGAUGUGAAAACGGCAACCCAACUCAGUACUCGAGGCAUUGAGAAAACCAACUGCCUUAUCACACUCAAGCGGCUAUGAAGGCUUUUGUUGCAAAAGAUCUCAGCACCCCACACGUAAAAUACCCUGCGGCCUUGCAAAUCUAGGCUUCGGAUGCCCAGGUAUGAUGACAUUUAUUUGAGCCAACAAAAAGCUAUUCUGAAACCACUUCUAGACUGUUCAUUUGCUACGGCUGACAAACUAGGGGUUAACACCCUAACAUCUACCUGCAGAACCAUUCGCAAUUGCUCUCUUCUCUGUUGCUGGUUUAGCCAUCUUCAAGCAUCACCAGCUGCUACAGCCACACCAUUUUCCUCGGAUGGCUUUAGUUGUUCAAGGCCACCCUGCUGCACAUCCUUGUUCAAAAUUGUAACAGAUUCCAAGGUUUCUGCAAUCUGGGCUUCCCAUUAGCAGCAUCCUUCUCUUUCUCCCCAGCAACAGCAUCAGAAGUUUUUCCAUCCCAGGCCUGAAAGCCAAAAAGAGAGAACAAUAAGCCGAUGAUAGGCAUAAUGGAAGAGUUUGUUAGAAAGUAACAAAUGCUGCAUCCAUCAAGCAACAAAAUGAGCAAAUAGAAAACACAGAAGCAAUGUCUCUUAAAAU
rnacentral:lncRNA from 1 species